rnacentral:rRNA from 1 species
AGCAGCCGCGGUAAUUCCAGCUCCAAUAGCGUAUAUUAAAGUUGUUGCAGUUAAAAAGCUCGUAGUUGAAUUUCGGGAUUGACGUGACGGUCGUGCCUUAAGGGGUAUGAACUGUUACAGUCAAUUUCUCACCUUCUGGAGAAAUAUGAUGUCCUUAAUUGGGUGUCAUAUGGAACCAGGACUUUUACCUUGAAAAAUUAGAGUGUUUAAAGCAAGCUUAUUGCUCGAAUACAUUAGCAUGGAAUAAUAAAAUAGGACGGCUUGAUUCUAUUUUGUUGGUUUCUAGGAUCACCGUAAUGAUUAAUAGGGAUAGUUGGGGGCAUUAGUAUUCAAUUGUCAGAGGUGAAAUUCUUGGAUUUAUUGAAGACUAACUACUGCGAAAGCAUUUGCCAAGGAUGUUUUCAUUAAUCAAGAACGAAAGUUAGGGGAUCGAAGACGAUCAGAUACCGUCGUAGUCUUAACCAUAAACUAUGCCGACUAGGAAUCAGACGAUGUUAAUUUUUUAAUGACUCGUUUGGCA